CACGCCGUGACCAUACACUUGCAUGCUGGGACUGAGCACAGGUCCUCAUGCUUACAAGAUGUCAUUGUUUGGAAUUAAAGGUGUGUACCAAAGGCUUGUCUGUAUUCCAGCCAGAGGGACUAAAGCUGGUCCAUGCUCCUGCUGCCUCUACUUCCUCAUCAGGGAAGACUUUAC